rnacentral:rRNA from 1 species
UACGGAGGGUGCAAGCGUUAAUCGGAAUUACUGGGCGUAAGCGUGCGCAGGCGGUUGUUAAGUCCGUUGUGAAAGCCCCGAGCUCAACUUGGGAAUUGCAGUGGAUACUGGCAGGCUGGAGUACGGUAGAGGAAGGUGGAAUUCCGGUGUAGCAGUGAAAUGCGUAGAUAGUCGAGAGGAACACCAGUGGCGAAGGCGAGUCCCUGGACGAGGUCCUGACGCUGGAGGCAACGAAAGCUAGGGGAGCAAACAGG